rnacentral:rRNA from 1 species
ACGGAAGGCAGCAGUGGGGAAUAUUGGGCAAUGGGGGAAACCCUGACCCAGCAACGCCGCGUGAAGGAAGAAGUCCUUCGGGUUGUAAACUUCUUUUACCAGGGACGAUAAUGACGGUACCUGGAGAAAAAGCAACGGCUAACUACGUGCCAGCAGCCGCGGUAAUACGUAGGGUGCAAGCGUUGUCCGGAUUUACUGGGUGUAAAGGGCGUGUCGGCGGAGCUGCAAGUCAGAUGUGAAAUCCCGGGGCUCAACCCCGGAACUGCAUUUGAAACUGUAGCCCUUGAGUGUCGGAGAGGAAAGCGGAAUUCCUAGUGUAGCGGUGGAAUGCGUAGAUAUUAGGAGGAACACCAGUGGCGAAGGCGGCUUGCUGGACGACAACUGACGCUGAGGCGCGAAAGCGUGGGGAGCAAACAGGAUUAGAUACCCUGGUA